GAUGAACGCUAGCGGCAGGCUUAAUACAUGCAAGUCGAGGGACAGCACAGGUAGCAAUACUGGGUGGUAACCGGCAAACGGGUGCGGAACACGUACACAACCUUCCUUUAAGUGGGGGAUAGCCCAGAGAAAUUUGGAUUAAUACCCCGUAAUAUAGUUGAAUGGCAUCAUUUGAUUAUUAUAGCUACGGCGCUUAAUGAUGGGUGUGCGGCUGAUUAGAUAGUUGGCGGGGUAACGGCCCACCAAGUCUACGAUCAGUAGCUGAUGUGAGGGCAUGAUCAGACACACGGGAACUGAGACACGGGCCCGACUCCUACGGGAGGCAGCAGUAAGGAAUAUUGGUCAAUGGACGCAAGUCUGAACCAGCCAUGCCGCGUGAAGGAUUAAGGUCCUCUGGAUUGUAAACUUCUUUUAUUUGGGACGAAAAAGGGCCUUUCUAGGUCAACUGACGGUACCAGAUGAAUAAGCACCGGCUAACUCCGUGCCAGCCGCCGCAGUAA
rnacentral:rRNA from 1 species